AGAGACAGCAGCAGCCGCGGUAAUACGUAGGGUGCAAGCGUUGUCCGGAAUUAUUGGGCGUAAAGAGCGUGUAGGCGGCUCGACAAGUCCGCUGUGAAAGUCCAGGGCUCAACCCUGGAAUGCCGGUGGAUACUGUCGAGCUAGAGUCCGGAAGGGGCGAGUGGAACUCCUGGUGUAGCGGUGAAAUGCGCAGAUAUCAGGAAGAACACCAAUGGCGAAGGCAGCUCGCUGGGACGUGACUGACGCUGAGACGCGAAAGCGUGGGGAGCGAACAGGAUUAGAUACCCCAGUAGUCCCUGUCUCUUAUAC
rnacentral:rRNA from 1 species